rnacentral:lncRNA from 1 species
CCCAUGGAACCUGGACUUCUGUCUGAGAAGUCACUUAGAGAUGCCAUUUCCAGUCACAUGCUGCAGACAGACCACUUUCAUCCUCUAAAGCCAAUGCCCAGGUUGCUCAAUGCUGUAUUUACACGCCACCCUUAACCUUUUAAAAACCUGCUUCAGCCUCAGGAACAUAGUCCUCAAAUUCUUUGUUUCAUUUUGGGAAGAGGUUCUUAGGUUCCCAAACCCACUCUGCAGAACAAAACCAGUCUACUGACACUGGUUUUUGUGAAGGAAAACCAGCAUUUACUAUAGGCCAGAAACCAAGAGAAGAGGCAGCUCAUGCUCAAAAGACAAGAACUCCCUGAUGUUUUUCAGAGAAGGGCUUAUAAAGGUAACACUUGGGGUAAGGAUUGCAGGGGGCAUGAUUUUCUUCUGAUUGGUUAGUGGUGCAGUAACAGAGUGGUGGUUUAGGUAUCUUAACUAUCAACCUUCGGGUUGUAACCAGUCUGGGUCUGUGUGCUUGUGGUCAGCAUGUAGUCGCCAGCCUCCACCUGGGUGGGGAUCUUGGUUGCUGCAGAACAAGGCAAAGAUAUGGUCAGAUUGUUAUGUAUAUCCCUCGAGGAGGAACUAAAACUGUGUUAUUACUGACCUAUUUUUUCCUGACUGCUUUUCCUUUGUUUCUGCAUUCCCUCAGUCUCCUGGUGAGUAACUAUUUGAGCCUGCUCUUUGGAGCUCAGGGAAGGGCUAAGAGAUUAAAGCUUUUUUUUUUUUUUUCAAAUAAGAAACAAGGGUUCCAGAGGGGCUUUUGUACCAUAUAGGGUCCUGCUCAGUUUUCACCUCUCCAUUUUCUUUGAUACUUCUCAAUCCUGUUGGGUAAUAGGCAUGAGACAGGAAAGGGAAUAAAGUUUUGGAUAGAAAGAUUCAUCUUAAGGGAACUUGGUUUUAGGGGGACUUGGUUUCAAUCAGAACCAUCCACUUUAGAUUUCUUCAACUGGUUCCUUCCCUCUGUUAAUGUGUUAGCCUCUUGACUUCCACAUACACUUAAAAUGCAUUUGGGGUUUUUUCUUUCCCAUGAAUGUGUGGGCUUCCACAGCAAAGUUGCAAAGGUGGUCUCUCUCCUCAGGCUUCUCCUUCCCACCCACCCUCUGAUGCCUCUGUGCUCCCCACAGCCCCACCCUCGGCACCCACAAGAGCCCUCCCAACCUGCUCCCAGACUCUGUAGUUACGUCAAUCGUCCCAAACAGUAAAGGGCGGCCAAAAACAGCUUAAGCAUUUUUCCUCCCUUAUUGCAUUUCAAAAAAGGACUGCUAGGAUCAGCCGGGAGUAGAGGAGACACAUGAAGCUUUGGGAUACCCAGCCCCACCUCAAGGCAGAGGCACUCUGCCUCGCCUGAUAAGAUGAGAACACGGUGAACUCCUUAAUAGCUUCCUCUCUAGGUUACCUCCUCACUUAGAGCUGCCUGAACAUCUGCUGGAAACUUUCUUAUCAUGUAGCGCACCUCUUGAACAUUCCCUGAAGAGGGUCCACCUUUCAGUUUUCUUAGGGCGAUUUUUUGGAGUUCACGUCCUUGCCCUCGUUCGUUCGUUCAGAGGUCUGCUCUGAGCUGAGCUCCUGGUGGAGGAAUGUGUGCAUUGCUCUGGGUGUCAACAGAGUGGGCUUCUGCUGGCCAGGCCUAGGCAACCUCUCCCUAUUUUGUAUAACUCUCUGUGAAGUGUGGCUGACAGCACUUAAUAUGAGGUUACCUGUAAACCUGCCCAUUAGCAUUUUAGAGGAGAGGAGCGGAUACUAUACCUGUCAAAGUCAGUGAAACAAGGCAGCAGGAGCAGAAGUAGCAGGAACUGGACAUCAAAUCUUGGUGGUUCUGAGGUAGAACCAGGAAGACCAAAGGUGAAGAAGCAGUGAGGGUGAGUUGAGUGAGAUGGUGUAAUUAAUGACAGUGUAUUUUGUGUGCCAGGAUCUCUGUGGUUACAGAAAUAAAGACGGCAGUCGGCUCUCAGGGUCUAGGUUUGGCAAUGAAAAACAGUUCUCUCUCAUCCAAAUAGCAACACCGAGUUGGAAUUGGGAGAAAGCUGUUGAUUUUCCUACUAUCAGAAAACUUUUGAGUCAGCGCUGCCUGUUUCCUAAGCAGAGCAAGCAAGGCAGUAGGCUCUAAUGUUUGCACAGGAUCUGCCAUAUUUGCUGAGCCACACUUCAAGGGGAUUUACAUGUAUUACCUCAGUUUAGGGAGGUACCUCUGUCUUAAAUAGAAGUCAAUGAAGGCAAGGAAGGUUAAGUGACUUGCACAGGGACACACGACUAAUAAUUAUCAGAGUCUUGGUCCAGCUGUUUCCAAAGCCUGUUCUCAUGCUCUGUAGAGGAUUAGAAUUCAGUCCCCCUACGUUCCUACCCAAGACCCUCCUCUAAGAAAACACUUGUCCCUUAGGUAGAAGGAGGAGCUUGAAAUCUUACAAUUAGACAUUUAUCCUUUACCUAAUCGCUUUGUUCCUUGGUACAUUUCUGCUGAGAGGAAUGAGCCAUUGAAAAGUUUAGCAUAAAUGUCUUGCUUAACUGAGACUAUAUUUAUGAAAGAAUUUCCUGCAAGGAAAAUUUGAUUGUGUGCAUAUGAAAAAGGGACAAGAAGAGAGACUAAUACCAAAGGGGAAGCAGAGAUGGAAGACAACUUUGCCUACUCCUCAAAUUGUUGUGGGUGCAAUGCUACCUGGAAGAAGCCCUACUUCUCUGGGCUUCUCUUCCUGUCCAGAGAACAUGAGGGUAACUGGCUCGUUCACCGCAAAGGAUCAGUGAGUGGGCAGAGGCCAGAGAGGAAAAUGCAGGCAAAAGCAGAGAUGGGGGUGGGAGCAGUGGUGUGGAGACAAAGGGGGAAGUAACUUUUUAAAUAAAAAAUGAUAAGUGAUGAAUAGAAUGGCUAAUCCUGGGGAGCCCUGAGAAUCCUGGACCGCCAAGCAAGGGCCUCCCUUUUUUUCACUUUCCUUUUUCUUUUCUUUUUAAUUUUCUUUUAUUUAAUUUCGCUGCAGCACGUAUAAUCAAUUACAGCCUGAAUCGGGAUAAAGGGAGGGGAAGCACUUUAAUUCAUAAAUCAAUUUUAUACGGUCAUCAGUCAGGUUGUGAAUGCAAAUACCUCUGUCGGUUUAGGUUAUUCAGAAUUAAUUGACUCCCGCCGGGCUGGGCUGCAGAUGGAGAGGGGCUUUCUCACAGAGUCUCCUUGGGCCCAGCAUGGGGGCCGACGGCUUCCUCCCUUCCCCCUCAGGCCCUCGGCCACCCCUCCUCCCUUGCUCCUUUACCCUCUGGGCCCCAAACUUGGAGAUGAUGGGAUUGGGCGUCCAGCAAAGAAGCUGGGUGGAUAAGAGCCCAGGAAGAUUAUUUGAAGAAGGAAGGGGAUACACAGUAAGAUGAAAGCCCCCAAACAAACCCUCUUCAGCCCAGGCCCUACAGAGACACCUUUAUGUGAUUAGAAAUGCUUAGCUUUCAAGGGUCUGCUUUUAAGUUCUCUUGAGCUUCUUAAAUAAAAGAGAAAAAAGAAAACAAACAGAAAAGCCAGAGCCCCUGGGCUGAAGCUGAAGGGAUAUCGUUCAGAAACUACCAGGUGGCAGGGGUUUGUGUGCGGCUGCCAGAUUUUAGCAGCCGGAAAGCAGCCUGGGACAGAGGGCCAUACACCCGCCAGGCCCAGCAGAAGUGAGGUCAAGGUCCUGCCCCAAGCACCUGAGGCUGAUGGUGACAGAGACAGUCCUGGGCUGUGGCCCCGUACUGCGGAUGCAGAGGACGAGUGAAUCAGGUAUAGGAAGAACUGAGGUGGCCUCUCCGGGCAUUUUCCUAAGGCAAGGUCUUCUAUCACUGGAGUUCAUUCCAGUUUGGAAAAGACACACACCUGUCCACCAUUCAGCAUUCCCUGUCCUCUGCUUUGCAGCUGAACAUACCCCUAGGUGUCUUGCUCCAAAUCAGACUGUUUUCGUGGUGUUCACCAGUGGCCCCCAUGUUAGAAUCACCCAGUGAGCUUUUUGUUUUGUGUGUUUGGCUGCUGAUUUAUUAAUGCUGAUAUGCAGGUCCACUCUUAAAAAGUUUGCUUUAAUCAGGUCUUGAGUAGAGCCCAAGAAAUUGGGCUUUGUUAAUAAAGGUGCAGGUCUAUGUACAGGUAAGGAUGGAGUAUCUGAGAACCUCACCCCACCCCCAGGCCCUCUCCACAACCUGGCAGUGGUUCUCAAAGUGUGGUGCAUUAGAAUUGUGUGGGCAGAGGGAAAAAAUGCUAAGAGAAAAAACAAAACAAAACAAAAUAAAAUCUGAGAUUGCAUAUGUUAUAGAUUCUGUGCAGAUCCCCUGCAGACACAGUGAAUCUCUGAAAAAUUCUGAAACCUAGACAAACUCCCAGUAAGUGUGGGAAUCUCUGCGGGGGCAAAGCACCAAGAUGUCAGCACUGUCCUUAUUGAAAAGCAAAUGCUAGCCUGCUCCAUUGGUAAGCAUCACAUUUGCCUUCACAAACAAUUCUUAUUUGUGAAUUCUGCCAGGAAGUGCUCCUGAGAGACCCAGAUGACCUGAAUCCAGAUGCAAAAGGAAAACAAUCCAUUGGAUGGGAUGAUCUUAAAGAUUCCCAAGCGUGGGUUCUCCAUCCAUAUUGAGCCUCUAAAAAAUCAGCUGAAAAUUCUUACGUAUUUUUAACCAGAACUCAAAUAACCACCCCCUGAUCUGUAGCAUAGUUGUUUGUAUACAAAUGAGCCAUGUUUAUUUAUCAUAAAAGGCAAAAGAAAUUCUUGGAAAAAUGUUCCAGUUAGUCAUUCAUUUGUAUUACCAUAUGUUAUUGGAGGCAAUAAAACUGCCUUUCUCUAAAAAUCUCAAUACUUCAGGCUUUAUUCCCAAGUCAGACUAGACUUCCUCUCCCAAAAGUCUGAAGGACUUAAUGGAGAUUAAAUGUGUGUUUUCUCCUGCUCUACUUAGCCAGCAGCAAAGAGAAAUUGGGGGCGUGUGCAGUUUCAGAAUGAAAGGGCACCUUGUUUGCAAAGCUCCAUGUUUAUAAGGUAGAAGACGAAGACAUCCAUGUCGGUGAAAAAAAUCCUUAGACCAUUAAAGCAAUAUGGCCAGGUGAUUAAACACACAAGCUUCAGAGUCAAUACUGACCAGCUUUGAAACAGCUUCAGCACUUAGCCUGGACAAAAUGUAAAACCUGUGUGCCUCAGUUUCAUCCUUUUUAAAGUGGGAAUAUUAACAGGAACUAUGAGGAUUAAAUGAGAUUAAAACAUCUAAAAAACUAAGCAGAGAGCAAGCUCAGAAAAUGGCAGUCCUUAUUUUGAGAGAAAGUGUGGAUGUGAAGUUUCUAAGGAGUGGAUCAGUGGACCUGUGGAUCUGAUGUGGUC